UUUUUUCCUUUUUUUUUUUUUCCCGGGGAGUCGGCCUCGGGGCUCUGCUCUCCUACCUCAGUCUGCCCUACCCUGGAAUGGGGAAAAUGCGGACAUGCCACUCAGUCCGGCCGCGAACAGUGCUCCAGAACUCAGAGAGUUUUCCAGACGGGUGGAGAUCGCGUUCCCUGCCCGCCGAGGUCCCAUCGCUUCCCUGCUGGGAAGACAAAUGAGGCGCUUUAGCCGUCUCCACGGCCAGCCCCUCCCUCAUAACCCGAGAUUCUUUGUGGGCUCUUAGUCCAUAGCUGCCUUUGAGGUGGUGUAGACCUUGCUAACCAGGACGGCCCAGUAGGCAGAGCUCAUUUUUAUUCCUGUCUGCAAUCGUGCAAAAACGCCUCUUAUGGAAAAGCCAGAGCGCCAGGAGUCAGCAAAACACACUAAAGAUUGGGCAGUCACUGGGGAGAACACUCAGCCCGCCUGCACCCAGGUGAAAUAUACAGCCUUGUUGCUCACACAAAGCCUGUUUGGUGGUUUCUUCACACGGAUGCAUGUGACAUUUGGUGCUGAAGACCCAGGACAGGAGGACUCCUUUGGGAGACCAGUGCCCUGUUGUCGCCCUCACUCCGUGAGGAGAUCCACCUAUGAUCUCAGGUCCUCAGACCAACCAGCCCAAGGAACAUCUUGCCAAUUUCAAAUCGGGUUGUCAGAAUCUGCAGAGAAGCUUCCUCCAAUCUCCAGCCUGAGAGUUCAGGCCUGGUUACCAGCAUUCUAGAAGCUGAAAGAGGAGAAGUUCUUGGAAGACUAAGAAGUCCAACAUUCGAAAGCGUCUUACUAUGUUGCCCAGGCUGUUUCAAACUCCUGGGCUUGCGUGGACACGGUGGCUCACGCCUGUAACUCCAACACUUCGGGAGAUUGAGGCAGGUGAAUCUGAGAUCAGGAGUUCGAGACCAACCUGGCCAACAAGGCCUCCCCUCAUGUAUCACUUCUUCAGAAAUGACUUCUGUGACCACAUCUGAGCUGUAUCCUCAGUGCAUACAGCAGUGUCUAGCACACCACAGACACUCACAUGUUUGUUGAAUGAAUGAAUGGGUGACCUUCAAGCAGUCUGGAAAGAGAGCAGCCAGUUCUCUACUUAAAUGUUUUCAGAAAAGAUUCCACCAUUUUUCUGACAAUAAAAAUGAAGUCCAGUGUCCAAUAAUAUUUAGUUGUCAGAAUGGUUCUCCUAAUAUCCAACCUAAUCCUUCCCAAAGCAAUUUCUGUCCUGUCUCUUCUCAUUUGUCUGGUGCUCAAUGGAAUAAUUAAAUUAGCUUACCAUGGUCAAUAAUAAAUGUACCAGGCCUUCUCAACAAUAA
ensembl:lncRNA OLMALINC oligodendrocyte maturation-associated long intergenic non-coding RNA